CCACAAGAACAAGGUUCAUGUAGAUCCAGUGCAUUGAAGGGAUAAAAUUAUUACUCACACCGUUUAAUUCAACGAUUCUCCCUCUCUCUCUCUAAAAUUCUUGAUGAUGGUUUGAGAUACAGUGCAAUGUAUAUAUUUGCUGGAACUAUGGUUUGCGAUACAUAUAUUUGUUAAUUUCUUUAGAAAUCUCGUAGUUUCUUAGUGUUUGCUUUUCUGGGUUUGUUUAAUUUUGAUUUGUGGAGCACUGAGUCAUCUCUUUAGUUGCUAACUUUUUGAUGUUGCUUUCCUAGCCUUUUUCACUUUGUCGUCUGUUGGGUUCUCUUUUUUCUUUAUGAUGCUAUCGAUGGAGCUACAAUGGUGGAUUGUUCAUUAUUUUCUUACAAAGGUUUGAAUUAGAUUACUCAUGUGAUUCUCUAAUCUCAUGCUUCUUGUGACCUUCUUUUCUUGAGUUCUUUGUUGAAGUAUGAGAAGAAUUUGAAACCGCUGGUAAUAAAGAUUUUCCAGAGAAGAGCAAUCAUAGCAGCGCAGAUGAUUUCUUUGAUGAGAUUUGCAGGUUUAGAUACAUGAAUCGCCAUAUAGGUUGAAUGGGUAUAAGAUGAAGGUGAUAAAAGUAGACCAUGAAGCUCGUGGCGUCGACACUUCUGAAGAUGUUGAAAAGAUAGAAUCUUACAUGCGCGAGAGGAACCUUUCUUAGUCCAGAGCAACAUCUCCUAAUACAAAGGGAUUUGUUUCUGGAUUUGAGAAUUAGUUUUUGGGAGCUUGUGUAUAUUCUGCUUUCCAAAAAUAUUGUGCAAAUUGUUUUGUGGACAUAAAUAUUGGCAGCUUGUGUGGUUAAACAUGGCUAGAUUGUGUAUGCUGUUUGUGGCCAAUUGUGUAUACCAUCCAUGUAUAUAAAUGUUGUGGAUUGUGUCCAGAUGUAUGUUUGUGGAUGGUUUUGUGU